AGAGAGAGACAUGCGCGCAUAUCAAUAAGCGGAGGAAAAGAAACUAACAAGGAUUCCCCUAGUAACGGCGAGUGAAGCGGGAAGAGCUCAAAUUUGAAAUCUUAAAGGGUUUCCCUUUACGAAUUGUAGUUUAAAGAAGUGUUUUCUGUUGAGGUUUUGGUAAAAGUUCUUUGGAAUAGGACAUCAUAGAGGGUGAGAAUCCCGUAUUUGACCUUUACUUUCAACUUUGUGAUACACUUUCAAAGAGUCGGAUUGUUUGGGAAUGCAGUCCAAAAUGGGUGGUAAAUUUCAUCUAAAGCUAAAUAUUGGCGAGAGACCGAUAGCGAACAAGUACCGUGAGGGAAAGAUGAAAAGAACUUUGAAAAGAGAGUUAAACAGUACGCUGAAAUUGUCAAAAGGGAAGCGUUUGACACCAGUGUUGUUUUUCUGAAAAUCAAUUAAAGAACUGUUUAUGCUAAGCUUGUUUAGACUUUAUCAGCUAACUGUUUAGUUUUGAGCUUUUCUUUAAUGCACUUUUCAGUUAACAAGUCAACAUCAAUUUCUUUUGCUGUAAAAAAGCUUGAGGAAGGUGGCUUGAGAUUCGUCUUAAGUGUUUAUAGCCUCUUGCCUAUGCAGUCGGAGAGAUUGAGGCCUGCAGCGUAGAUCCUUCGGGGCUAAAUGCAUUUGUGCUAAGUUAUAGCAUUUUAUAGACAACUUGUUGACUAUGAUUUGUCUUGUAGCUUACUCGCUUAUGUUAUUUUACCUACGCUUAGGAUGUUGACGCAUGAGAUAUACGC
rnacentral:rRNA from 1 species